UACGGAGGGUGCGAGCGUUGUCCGGAAUCACUGGGCGUAAAGGGCGCGUAGGCGGCGCAACAAGUCACUUGUGAAAUCUCCGGGCUUAACCCGGAGCGGCCAAGUGAUACUGUCGUGCUAGAGUGCGGAAGGGGCUACUGGAAUUCUCGGUGUAGCGGUGAAAUGCGUAGAUAUCGAGAGGAACACCUGCGGCGAAGGCGGGUAGCUGGGCCGACACUGACGCUGAGGCGCGAAAGCCUGGGGAGCGAACGGG
rnacentral:rRNA from 1 species